UACGGGGGGGGCAAGCGUUGUUCGGAAUUACUGGGCGUAAAGGGCUCGUAGGCGGCCAACUAAGUCAGACGUGAAAUCCCCAGGCUCAACCUGGGAACUGCGUCUGAUACUGGAUGGCUUGAAUCCGGGAGAGGGAUGCAGAAUUCCAGGUGUAGCGGUGAAAUGCGUAGAUAUCAAGCGGAACACCAGUGGCGAAGGCGAGUCCCUGGACAACUCCUGACACUGAUGCACGAAAGCUAGGGGAGCAAACAGG
rnacentral:rRNA from 1 species